rnacentral:rRNA from 1 species
UGGGGAAUAUUGGACAAUGGGCGAAAGCCUGAUCCAGCCAUGCCGCGUGUGUGAAGAAGGUCUUCGGAUUGUAAAGCACUUUAAGUUGGGAGGAAGGGCAGUAAGUUAAUACCUUGCUGUUUUGACGUUACCGACAGAAUAAGCACCGGCUAACUCUGUGCCAGCAGCCGCGGUAAUACAGAGGGUGCAAGCGUUAAUCGGAAUUACUGGGCGUAAAGCGCGCGUAGGUGGUUUGUUAAGUUGGAUGUGAAAGCCCCGGGCUCAACCUGGGAACUGCAUCCAAAACUGGCAAGCUAGAGUACGGUAGAGGGUGGUGGAAUUUCCUGUGUAGCGGUGAAAUGCGUAGAUAUAGGAAGGAACACCAGUGGCGAAGGCGACCACCUGGACUGAUACUGACACUGAGGUGCGAAAGCGUGGGGAGCAAACAGGAUUAGAUACCCAAGUAGUCCCUGAGCGGGCUGGCAAGGCG